UGGAGAGUUUGAUCCUGGCUCAGGAUGAACGCUGGCGGCGUGCCUAAUACAUGCAAGUCGAGCGAAUGGAUUAAGAGCUUGCUCUUAUGAAGUUAGCGGCGGACGGGUGAGUAACACGUGGGUAACCUGCCCAUAAGACUGGGAUAACUCCGGGAAACCGGGGCUAAUACCGGAUAACAUUUUGAACCGCAUGGUUCGAAAUUGAAAGGCGGCUUCGGCUGUCACUUAUGGAUGGACCCGCGUCGCAUUAGCUAGUUGGUGAGGUAACGGCUCACCAAGGCAACGAUGCGUAGCCGACCUGAGAGGGUGAUCGGCCACACUGGGACUGAGACACGGCCCAGACUCCUACGGGAGGCAGCAGUAGGGAAUCUUCCGCAAUGGACGAAAGUCUGACGGAGCAACGCCGCGUGAGUGAUGAAGGCUUUCGGGUCGUAAAACUCUGUUGUUAGGGAAGAACAAGUGCUAGUUGAAUAAGCUGGCACCUUGACGGUACCUAACCAGAAAGCCACGGCUAA
rnacentral:rRNA from 1 species